UACAAUGAAACGAAGAGAACGAGGCUGGAUGUAUGAUAGGCUUGAUGUACAUACUCUGAAGUCCGAUCUCUUAAAAGGAGUUGAAGAAUUUGUUAAGUUUUGUAAACUCCAUCCUGAGAAUAAAAACCCUAGAGAGAUUAGAUUUCCUUGUCCUCAGUGCAAGCAUAAAUGUCUCCUAGAUGAGGACAUAGUGAGAGUACAUAUAUAUAAGAAGGGGUUUGUUCCUAAUUAUUACAAUUGGUUGUAUCAUGGUGAAAGAAUUCAUGGUGCUAGUUGAUCUGCUUCAAAUCCUUAUCAGGAGAUGGUUAUUGAUGCGUUUGGGAGUAACCAAGAUGACUUUGGUGAAGAAGAGGCAAAUAACAUCCUAGAAGAACCAAAUGCAAGGGCAAAGCAGUUUUUUGAUCUUCUUGAAUCCGCUGAACAACCAUUGUGUGAUGGUAGCAAAAUGUCAGUGUUGGAGUUGGCUUCUAGAAUUAUUGCAUUGAAAUGUGAAUACAAUUUGGCACAUAGAUGUAUUGAUGGUUUCACUUCUUUGCAGAAUGAAGUUGUGCCCGACAACAACAACAUACGUUCUACCUUCUAUGACACGAAAAAGGUUGUUAAGGGAUUGGAACUUCCUCAUCACAAGGUCCAUGCAUGUCCUAAGGGUUGCAUGCUUUUUUGGAAAGGGGAUACUGAAUUACAAAGAUGUAAAAUUUGUGACUUUGAGAGAUACAAGAAAACAUCUAGGGGCACCUUGGUUCCUUUGAAAGUUCUUACCUAUUUCCCGAUCACACCAAGGUUGCAAAGACUGUUCUAAUCCAAGAAUGUUGCGGAUGAGAUGACUUGGCAUGUAGAGAACCCCCGAAUUCAGAACACAAUGGCUCAUCCUAGUGAUAGUGAAGCGUGGAAGCACUUUGAUAGAACUUUUCCUGAUUUUGCCUCUGAGCCCCAUAAUGUUCGGUUGGGUUUGUGCACCGACGAUUUUGCACCGCAUGGUAAUUUUGGUGGGCAUUACUCUUGUUGGCCUGUCAUUCUUACACCUUACAAUUUGCCUCCUUCCAUGUGCAUGAAAAAACCAUUCAUGUUUCUUUCAUUGCUUAUUCCGGGCCCGAAAAAUCCAAAAGGAAACUUGGAUGUGUAUAUGCAACCUCUAAUUGAAGAGCUUAAGCAGUUGUGGGAAACUGGUGCCACGACUUACGACAUCUCAAGGAGACAAAACUUUAACCUUCGAGCUGCAAUCUUGUGGACCAUUAGUGACUUUCCAGCUUAUGGAAUGCUUUCAGGAUGGACUACAGCCGGGAAAAAAAGCAUGUCCUUACUGUAUGGAUAAAAGCAAAGCCUUUGGGUUAAACAUGGAGGUAAAGUUUCGUGGUUUUAUUGUCAUCGUCAAUUUCUCGAUUUGAAUCACCCUUACAGAAGAAAUAGAACCGCAUUUUGUAAGAACAGAGUUGAAAAGAACUCACCACCACACAUAAUGUCCGAAGAUGAGUUGUGGCACAUGGUGAAGUACUUGCCAAAAGCCAAAUAUGGACCCGAAGCACUUAAACGGUUGAAGAAGGCAAAAAAAGGGUGGUUCAAACAAACUUCUUUUUGGGAAUUGACGUAUUGGAAGCAUUUGUUGAUUAGGUACAACUUAGAUGUUAUGAACAUUAACAAGAACUUCUUUGAUAAAUUGAUUCAUACAAUGAUGGAUGUGAAGAAGCAUACCUCAGACACGACAACUUCAAGAAAAGAUUUGGCAGAAUAUUGCAAGCGGCCCCAACUAGAAUUAGUUGAAGAUGAAAGGGGAAAGAUAGCAUGCCGAAAGCACCAUUCACACUUGAUAAAGCUCAUAAAAAGGUAUUAUGUGAGUGGGUCCAAAAUUUGAGGUUUUCAGAUGGCUAUGCUUCUGACUUGACAAGAUGUGUUGCCUUACAAUCAUGUAAGUUGCAUGGCAUGAAAAGCCAUGACUUUCAUGUCUUCAUGGAACGAUUACUACCGGUUUCUUUGAAGGAAUUUCUUCCUGAUCAAGUUUGGAAAGCAAUUACCGAGAUCAGUUAGUUCUUUCGAGAUUUGUGUUCUUCUACAAUUACUUUGAGUGACAUGGAACGUUUGGAGAGUAACAUUGCUGAGAUUCUUUGCAAGUUAUAGAAGAUUUUUCCUCCAUCCUUUUUCAUUUCCAUGGAACACUUACCUGUUCACUUACCAUAUGAGGCACGAUUGUGUGGCCCAGUUCAUUAUCGGUGGAUGUAUCCAUUUGAGAGGUUCCUUAACCACUUGAAACGCAUGGUUGGAAAUAAGGCUCGUGUUGAAGGUUCUAUAUGCAAUGCUUAAUUAUGUGAGGAGAUUACGAAUUUUUGUUCUAAAUACUUUCAACUUGAGAUUGACACAAAAUCAAGAGACUUGGGAAGGAAUGUAACCACAGGAUCUGACCUUGAAAUGCAUGAUGAUCAUGUCUCAGAAAUGUUUAGGGUAGAUUGCGGUCGUGUGCCUAAUGAUGGUCGUCGUCGAUUUUUAGAUGAUGCCGAGUACGACUGAGCCCAUCUUUAUGUUUUAGCAAAUAGUGGCAUUAUAGGCGAAUAUGAAAGGCAAUUUGAGGAACAUGUUGUUCAUACACGACCAAGCAUAAAACCCGAGGAAGUUUGGGGAAAGUGUGAGCAUGAGUUUCCUAAGUGGUUUAAGU